rfam:Gossypium raimondii chromosome 13, whole genome shotgun sequence.
AUCUCAUGAUGAGGGCACUUACGAAGUAACUCCUUGAAUCGCUUCCAAGCCUCAUACAAAGACUCAUCAUCCAAUUGUUGGAAAGUUGUGAUCUUGUUCCUUAACUU